GUGGGGAAUCUUCCGCAAUGGACGAAAGUCUGACGGAGCGACGCCGCGUGAGUGAAGAAGGCCUUCGGGUCGUAAAGCUCUGUCAUCAGGGACGAAUGGCCGGUGGAGUGGAAAGCCACCGGAUUGACGGUACCUGAGAAGGAAGCCACGGCUAACUACGUGCCAGCAGCCGCGGUAAUACGUAGGUGGCAAGUGUUGUCCGGAAUUAUUGGGCGUAAAGCGCGCGCAGGUGGGAUCUUAAGUCCAUUUUGAAAGUUCGGAGCUCAACUCCGUGAUGGGAUGGAAACUGGGAUUCUUGAGUACCGGAGAGGAAAGCGGAAUUCCCCGUGUAGCGGUGAAAUGCGUAGAUAUGGGGAGGAACACCAGUGGCGAAGGCGGCUUUCUGGACGGUGUCUGACACUGAGGCGCGAAAGCCAGGGGAGCGAACGGGAUUAGAAACCCGAGUAGUCC
rnacentral:rRNA from 1 species